rnacentral:rRNA from 1 species
UACGUAGGUGGCAAGCGUUGUCCGGAUUUAUUGGGCGUAAAGAGCGUGUAGGCGGUUAGGUAGGUCCGUUGUGAAAACUCGAGGCUCAACCUCGAGACGCCGAUGGAAACCAUCUGACUAGAGUCCGGAAGAGGAGAGUGGAAUUCCUGGUGUAGCGGUGAAAUGCGCAGAUAUCAGGAAGAACACCCGUGGCUAAGGCGGCUCUCUAGUACGUGACUGACGCUGAGACGCGAAAGCGUGGGGAGCGAACAGG